rnacentral:ncRNA from 1 species
GCGGGGAAAGAAGACCCUUUUGAGCUUGACUCUAAUCUGGCAGUGUAAGGAGACAUAAGAGGUGUAGAAUAAGUGGGAGAUAUUAGACUUCGGUUUGGUAUCGACAAUGAAAUACCACUACUCUUAUUGUUUCCUUACUUACUUGAUUAAAUGGAACGUGUAUCAUUUCCUAGCCAUUAUACGGAUAUAAUUAUUAUGUCUUAUGGUAUUGGGUUUUGAUGCAAGCUUCUUGAUCAAAGUAUCACGAGUUUGUUAUAUAAUCGCAAACAAAUUCUUUAAUGAGAGAAUGCAUUUAUGUAUUAUUGAUUUAAAAAUUUGGUAUAACUCCAAUUACUCAGGUAUGAUCCAAUUCAAGGACAUUGCCAGGUAGGGAGUUUGACUGGGGCGGUACAUCUCUCAAAUAAUAACGGAGGUGUCCCAAGGCCAGCUCAGUGCGGACAGAAACCACACAUAGAGCAAAAGGGCAAAUGCUGACUUGAUCUCGGUGUUCAGUACACACAGGGACAGCAAAAGCUCGGCCUAUCGAUCCUUUUGGGUUUAAAGAGUUUUUAACA